UACAGAGGUCCCAAGCGUUGUUCGGAUUCACUGGGCGUAAAGGGUGCGUAGGUGGCCGGGUAAGUCUGACGUGAAAUCUCCAAGCUCAACCGAGAAACGUCGGCUGAUACUGCCGUUCUUGAGGGAUGCAGAGGAGACUGGAAUUCCCGGUGUAGCGGUGAAAUGUGUAGAGAUCGGGAGGAACACCGGUGGCGAAGGCGGGUCUCUGGGCAUCUCCUGACGCUGAGGCGCGAAAGCGUGGGGAGCAAACGGG
rnacentral:rRNA from 1 species